GACGAAGAACGCAGCGAAAUGCGAUAAGUAAUGUGAAUUGCAGAAUUCAGUGAAUCAUCGAAUCUUUGAACGCACAUUGCGCCCGCCAGUAUUCUGGCGGGCAUGCCUGUUCGAGCGUCAUUACAACCCUCAGGCCCCCGGGCCUGGCGUUGGGGAUCGGCGGAGCCCCCCGUGGGCACACGCCGUCCCCCAAAUGCAGUGGCGGUCCCGCCGCAGCUUCCAUCGCGUAGUAGCUAACACCUCGCGACUGGAGAGCGGCGCGGCCACGCCGUAAAACACCCAACUCUUCUGAAGUUGACCUCGAAUCAGGUAGGAAUACCCGCUGAACUUAAGCAUAUCAAUAAGCGGAGGA
rnacentral:misc_RNA from 1 species